rnacentral:misc_RNA from 1 species
UCCUGGUUUCCCAGGCAGUCCCACCAGAGUGCCUUAAUUAAAAGUAGCAACUGAUGGCAGGGGUUGCGCUCGUUAAAGGACUUAACCCAACAUCUCACGACACGAGCUGACGACAGCCAUGCAGCACCUGUGCAAAUGUCCAAAGUAAACUUUGGAAAACUGUAUUUCUACAGCGAUCAUAAGCAUGUCAAACCUAGGUAAGGUUCCUCGCGUAGUGUCGAAUUAAACCACAUGUUCCACCGCUUGUGCGGACCCCCGUCAAUUUCUUUGAGUUUUAAUCUUGCGACCGUAUUCCUCAGGCGGAUCACUUAACGCGUUAGCUUCGACACUAAUUUUGCAGAGCAAAAUUAACGUCUAGUGAUCAUCGUUUACGGCGUGGACUAC